rnacentral:lncRNA from 1 species
UUUUUUUUAGUUUUCUGCCUGCGGGUAAAUCAUUAGUGUUUUGUCUUUGUGGAAUUUCUUCAGCAUGUGAGGCCUGGCGACAUUUAAUAAGGGAAGCAGAAUCAGGGCUAUAUUGUUUCUUAAUUGUAUUGUAAAAUAUACUCUGACUGUCUAUAUCUCAUUUUCUUGUGACUGAGGCAUUUCAUUUUUCUAUGAAGCAAAAUUUGCUUAUGGUGGGGGUUGCAAGCAGAUUAUUCUGGGAUGCAUCAGUUGGUACUUGGUAGCAUAGUUUAAAAAAUCAAACCGGGCAAGGUUGUCGGUUUAGGUUUUUACCGGUUUGACCACUGGUUCACCAAUUCGGUUGUCAGUUUUUUAAGCAACAAAAUAAUAUGUAUUCUAUUAAAAAAAUACACCAAUCAGUAGUGAAAAAAUGUUUAAUCGGAGGUGACCGCCUCGCGUCCCAGUCCUCCUGCUCGACUACUCCUGGUCUGGACUCUAGAUCGGAGAGAGGCAACUGGAGGGAGGCCUGGUCAAUUUUACAGGAGCGGAGGAAGAGUGGUGGCUCAGAACAGCAAGACACGAGAGUGGCAACACCAGCUGGUGAUCUGGUGCCGCAUGGAGUGGUGAGGAAGAGGAGGCGUCGGCGCACCAGUGUGUCCGACAAGGGUGGCACCGAAGGUGGGCGGCUACGCUGAUGGGGUUUGUUUGUGGACAAAAUCAAGAGAAAUGCUCCAAAUUCAGCCGAAACCCUACCAAAAGAGGGGUUUCCUUCCUUUUCCGAUACUAUAUGAACAAGGGAUGAUCCACAUGAGAGCAAGAAAACUUUUCACAUAAAAUCAGAAGAGGUAUCCAUAUAUGAAUCGGUUUAGAAUUCAAAGAUCAAGAAACCGUAGUGCUAAAGAUUAGAUGCGCAGAUUCAACUCUGUAGUCAGACAGUAUGCCUUCCCCUCCAGAUAAAGAUCGGAAAGCUUGCUGCAUAAUUCGUGUAACGGCGGGAUCAGCACUUGAGACGGUGGCUACUACUAAGAUUGGCUACCCGUACGACAAAUGCGGGACAGAAAUAGGAUGGCCAUUUCUGCAUCAUUACAAGACGGGACCUAUUACAUACUACCUGGUAAUACAGGGUACGUUAGUUGUAGGUGCACAAGAGCGGCAGCCAACAAGAAAAGGAAUGCCACGAAAAUGUACUUCCAGUUCAGGAGUGUUGGCUCAAUAGAACGCACGGUCUCAAGAGUGCAAGAUUCAUCAUCAAGCACAGCAGUAAUCCCAGCUUCCUUCUCUCCAAUAAGAGCGUCAGCCUUCACCUAACCAUACAAGAAAUAUGUCAGCUUUUGCCCUUCUUUUUUGGCAAGGGUACAGGUAUCACAGUUUGAGGCUCAACAUAUUGAUCAUACUGUAUUAGCCAAAUGUUCAAAGAGUAAAAAGGUCUAAAGACUAGGAGCCAGGGAUAGGAAGUUCAGGGUUUGAGUCAUUUCCUACAACAAAUGCCUUCUCAUGAUGCAAACAAUUGUCCAUAUCAUGAUAUCAACAGAAGUGGGAAAGCCAAGAAAUUUGCUGCUUCUACGAUUUUCACGACAAAAGCAAGACAUCCGAAGAAGAACUGACCUUUGUCUGCAUUGAUGAAGAAUCCAGAAGUACUUCCUCUAUUACACCAGUCGGCCUGAGUUCACCUUCAUUAGCAGUAACCUUUUUGCUUAACAAGGUGCCUUCAUUGACAUUCUCUUUGCAUUUUUGAGUCAACAUCCUGUUCUUCCUUGUUAGCGUGACAAUCUGUAAAGAACAGACAUCAGAGAGAGAGCUGGUUCAAAAUACACUAAUUAUCGUAGCUCAUAUACAUAAACAUCAGAGCAAGCCAAACUGUAAGUAGGUUAAUAUCGAGGAACAAUUCCCAAAGAAAAACAUUGAUAAAGUUAGGUCCAUUGUGAUGUCUGAUGCCAGGGAAGGCUACACAAAGGGAUGGGAAAGCCACACGAUAACUUGUAGAGUUACAAACUGUAAAAAGAAGAUACUACUCCCUCUGUUCACUUUUAUAAGGCGUUGUAGCAUUUCAGACAGUGUACAAAACAGCUCAAUUUUAGUUGUCUGAAACGACUUAUAAAAAUGAACGGAGGGAGUAUAUAAUAUACUUUAUGCCACGGACAUGCUUGCAUAAACAGAUGCCAACCAAAAUUGUAAGUAGGUUAUAACUCUAUAGUAGAGGGAAAACCGAUGAUUCCCUUAAAAAAUGAGCUCGAAUGGUUAUGGACAAUUUUUUAAAAACAUGUAAGAUACUCCCUCCCGUCCUUUUUAGUUCGCAUAUAAGAUUUAUCUAAAGUCAAGCCUCGUAAAGUUUGACCAACUUUAUAGAAAAAAAUACCAACAUUCACAAUGUGAAAUCAGUAUCAGUAGAUGCGGCAUGACUUAAGUUUUCAUAUUAUAUAACUUUAGCAUGGUAGAUGUUGAUAUUUUUUCAUACAAAUAUGGUCAAACUUUAUGAAGUUUGACUUCAGACAAUUCUUAUAUGCAGAGUAAAAAGGUUAUACUCCCUCCCGUCCUUUUUAGUUCGCAUAUAAGAUUUAUCUAAAGUCAAGCCUCGUAAAGUUUGACCAACUUUAUAGAAAAAAAUACCAACAUUCACAAUGUGAAAUCAGUAUCAGUAGAUGCGGCAUGACUUAAGUUUUCAUAUUAUAUAACUUUAGCAUGGUAGAUGUUGAUAUUUUUUCAUACAAAUAUGGUCAAACUUUAUGAAGUUUGACUUCAGACAAUUCUUAUAUGCAGAGUAAAAAGGUUAUACUCCCUCCGUCCCAAAAUAAGUGUCUCAACUCUAGUACAACUUUGUACUAAAGUUAGUACAAAGUUGAGACACUUAUUUUGGAACGGAGGGAGUAUCAAGUAAAUGAUAUCAACAUAGAGUUGGGACAUGCAAAUGCAUAAUGUUCGUCCUUGUAUAAAUCCCUUUAUUGGAUUUUAGUUAAUGAUUUUACCCUUCAAGAAGUGCUCAUCAUAUUAUGUUCUCUUUACCAAGUCAAAGCAUUGGACACAUUUGUAUCCUUGUAAUUGAACACGUGCUUCGUGGUCUCUUUACCAAGUCAAAGCAUUGGACACAUUUGUAUCCUUGUAAUCGAACACGUGCUUCGUGAUCAACCAUGUAGUUUUUCAGCUGCUUGAGAUGAACUACCACAAUAAUUACUGCUGUAUGCUGGCAAAGCAAUAUUUCAGUCCACGCAUGAUAUCUUGAUUCGACACCAAACUAGUGCUUAUUCUGUACAAUGCCAUACAGAAAGCACAUAUUUUUUGCGGACAUGUAUAUUCACAGCAUUCAAAGUACAUGCAUGCACAUUAAAAGAGAAUAGUAGAAGUAAACUUUCCAUAAUAACAACGUGCAUACCUGCAGAUGAAGGCGUUCUCUUUCCAAUGCAAGUUUCGCAACCAAGUCAGUGAUGGUCUUAGUUUUAAUACCAAUAUCUUUUGCAGUGGACAGCUUUAGUUGGUUAGCUUGGCGUAACGAGUUCUCUAGACCUCCAACUCGACCUCUCAGAAAUGAUAUCUCUUCACUAAGCUCGAACUUGGUAUCUGUCAACAAUGUACAUUUUGAUUCAGCAUUCUCAGCCCUGGUUUCAGCUUUCAAAUACUUAUCCUUCAGAUCUUCAAUCACAUGUUGCAUAUCAGAGAUUGAAGACUUUAACAUGCUCUGAUGUUCACUAAUAGCCUCAACUGAUGCCACUGUAUGCUCUAACUGAGCUUCUGUCUCCAUAAGAUCCAUUUCCAAUAAGCCUGCCUUAUCUGACCCCCGAGUCUUCAUAUGAUUUAGCUCCCCAUUAAGUUGUACAUUAGUGUGAGUGAGCUCUGCACACCUUGCUUCGGCCUUUUGUGUUCUACUUUCUGCUUUGGAAACAGCAUCUUUAAUAUCAUUGAUUAUAUUCCUAAAUCUGCUUAUCUCAGAUGGUGACAUAUUCUGCUCUUUUUCAUUUCCUUCUGUCGAUACUGUUACGAACUGCAAUUGGGAGCAAGAUUCCCUCAGCCACUCCUCCAGUUUCUGAACCUUAUGCUGUAAAGCGAAGAACUCAGGGGUCGACAGCCUUUGCCUCUGCAUGGAAUCCUGGCUGGCAUUCUCCUCACCGCCAUUUUGCAUCAUCUCCAGUGAGCCAUUCAAAGCAUUUAACUGCACCAAGCUUUGCUCUAGCUUUGCUUUAAGAUCACUUUCCCUACAACCUGAUGCACUUAGUUGGUACUGCAUGGUAUUAAUUCUGUUAACAAGUUCCUUUGACGUUACAAGAAACAACUCGGAAGCAUUUUCUGCUGCAAACAUUCUUUCAGAAAUCGCUUCAACCGAUUCCUCCAAGAAAUACGACCCGUGUUCAACAUGAUGCAGCUUCAUUUUCAGCUCUUCCACGAGAACCCCCAAAUCACUUAGCUUCUUUUCAAGAUCUAAUUCAUUUGCUAUCGACUGUUCUAACAUCUGAAGAACAUUCCUUUGGCCCUCAGCCUGGAUAGUUGUGUGAGAUGAAACGUGUCCAUUUUCAUAUGCACCACCUUCACUAUUUCCUGUAAAAAUGCAAUGGUCAGGAUAUGGGUAGAGUGAACACUCACACUAAUAUGGCCUAAAAUGCUUGAACAUACCAGCUUUACGGUGGGAAGGGUCUAGGGCUUUUUCAAAGUUUGCAAACUCUCUUCUAAUUGUGGCUAUCACCUCCUGCAUCUGCUUCAAGGAGUCCAUGGCAGCAUGUAGCUUACCCUUCAACCAGCCCUCUGACUCUUCCCCGUUAAGCUUCUUUUCGAUGUUUCCAAUAUCGAUUUGAAUAUAACUGAUUAACCUCUCCAACUCCCUGACUUCUGCAUCUAGAAUCCCGUACAAUAGGUCAAAUUCGAAAGCAUUCUCGAGCGACUCAGUCGAAAGUGACCCAGGGUCCAGCAUGAGAGGUUCAAUAUCAUUUGCUCGGUCAGCUACCUCCAUCACCAGCAUCUCUAAAUUCAGUAACUUCUCAGAGCCAAAUUGAAUUUCGAGGUCCACCCUAGACAUGACAUCGGCUGGGUUUCCAGCUCCAUUUGAUCCAUCUCCGUGCAGCAGAACAUUUUCAUGGAAACAAUAAUUGCCCUGAGUGCUCUGAAAGUCCAUGAUCCCUCUUCUCUAUGCCUCCUGCAAUAACAUAUGGGUUCAUCUCAUGUAAAGAAAAAAUAUAUAAAUAAGACUUUCAUUUCUUCAAAUAUUUGAGGGAACUAGGAUAGAAGCAAGGCAAGCAAAGCCGCAACUCCACCACGGCGCAUCAACUCCCCAAUGGACUGCCAAAAAUUCAUACUAUUUGGUAGGAGCGGUUAAAAGUACUCACACUAUGCUCUCUUUUUUUGCUGUAGACUAAAAUGAGCUGAUUAUAGGUUACGCGUUGUGCCUCGGGCCAGCUGGCUUGUUAGGUCCAUAACAUAACUGGUCCGGCUUGGCUCUUUAGCUUAUAGAAGAAAAAACUUGGUUCUGGAAACAAGUAGUAAGAUGGUAGUCCCUCCAUUCACAAAUACAAGAUGUUUUGGAUAUUUCAAUAUGGACUACAUACAGACUGAAAUGAGUGAGCAAACACACUAAAACGUGUACAUAACUCUAUAUACAUCUGAUUCAGAAAAAAGUUACAACAUCUUAUACUCUCUCACUUUUUAUUUACUCCGCAUAUUAGCUUUGACUGAAGUCAAAGUUUAUAAAAAGUUUUACCAAGUUUGUAGAACACAAUAUGAACAUUUACAGGAACAUAUUUAUAUGAUGUGCAAAUAUAUGCAAUGAUGAAUCCAAUGGUAUUAGUUUUGUGGUGUAUAUUUAAUAUAUUUUUGUAUAAACUUGUUAAAAGUAUAUAAAGUGACUUUAGACAAACCUAAUAUGCGGAGUAAAAAAAACGGAGGGAAUAUUUGUGAGUGGACGAAGUAUCAAGUAAAUAUGCCUUAAUUUUGAAGAAAUCUCGAUAAAAUUUGUCUGGACUCGAUCUUAUCAACCUACACACACCUGUAUAGAGUACACUGACACUCUGGUCCGAAUCGUGGGCAUACGUGCAUAUCCCUAGCUGACUCCUGGCUGGGUUUGGAUAUGCCUAUCUGAAUCACAAUCACGCGAGAAGCUCGGUGCGACAAGGAUCCCGCGGAGGCCAAAUGGCGCGCCGAAUGAUUUGGCAAGGACUGGGCACGGGCAGUGGGCAUACACACGGACACAUGGCGCGGCGGCCGUCGAGCGCGAGAGAGAGGUCGAGGGGUGAGGGGACGGGAGGGGAGGGGNNNNNNNNNNNNNNNNNNNNNNNNNNNNNNNNNNNNNNNNNNNNNNNNNNNNNNNNNNNNNNNNNNNNNNNNNNNNNNNNNNNNNNNNNNNNNNNNNNNNNNNNNNNNNNNNNNNNNNNNNNNNNNNNNNNNNNNNNNNNNNNNNNNNNNNNNNNNNNNNNNNNNNNNNNNNNNNNNNNNNNNNNNNNNNNNNNNNNNNNNNNNNNNNNNNNNNNNNNNNNNNNNNNNNNNNNNNNNNNNNNNNNNNNNNNNNNNNNNNNNNNNNNNNNNNNNNNNNNNNNNNNNNNNNNNNNNNNNNNNNNNNNNNNNNNNNNNNNNNNNNNNNNNNNNNNNNNNNNNNNNNNNNNNNNNNNNNNNNNNGGCGUCGCCGUCGCGAUCCCCGGAGGAAUGGAAUGGAAUGGAAUGGAACGGAGGAUUUGUUGCGAACGGAAUGGGAGGGGGAGGGGUUUACCGUUUUCGCUGAUUCGUCGGGUGCGGGUGCGGCCAUGUGGCGCCGUGGGAAGAGGAACGUUGGAGAGUGGGGCGUUGCACGAGGGGGUGAUGUGGCGCGGACGUGGCCCGCGUGGGUGGGACUGGAUGAACUUGAUCUAUUUGAUGACUUUUGGAUAAACUUGAUCUAUUUGAUGACUUUUGGAUAAACUUGAUCAAUUUGAUGACUUUUGGAUAAAGUAUAUGCAUGAUUAAUACUCCCUCCGUUCCAAAUUAGCUGACUCAGAUUUAUCUAGAUACGGAUAUAUCUAGACAUGUUUCAGUGUUAGAUACAUCCGUAUCUAGAUACAUCCAAAUCAACUAAUAUGGAAAGGAGGAAGUACGUAUGAAUUGUUGGAUGAAAUAUGGCUAUAUUUGUAGUUGAUUUGUUGCAUAGUAAGGUUCAUUUGAAUCAUUCAAAUGAUUGAUGAAAUCUCGUGCAGUUUGUCGAAAUGUGUGCCAUAAAGAAUGGACAAAUUAGUCGGAAAAACAAGGAGUUAAAUAUAGAGACUUCGCUAGGUAUUUUUAACUUCUCGUAUUUGAGGAGUUAAAAUUUAAUGUCAUUGCAAGAUUCAGCCAUCCCAAAAUAUGCAUAUCAAAUUUAUGUCUCCUGAUCGGCCAUGGCUUCAAGAACGAUGAUGGCAUCCUUCUUGUGUCCUUUAAACUAUCUCGGACAUGUUGUAGGGCAAUUCUUUCACUUCCAAUGCAUGCAAUCAAUUGCCAAGUAUACCUGAAAACUCACUUGCUUUGUUCAUCUUCAGAAGUUGUUGAAUGUCCUGAGCAUUGGGUUCUCUCAAAUACUCCGGCUCAAACACUUCAAUCACCACAUUUGCAAAUUUCUUCAUACAAAAGAUUAAAGUCCUCUCCCAUUGCCAAGUUAUCAUCAAAGAAAACUGUUUGAACACCCUAUGUCAUCAUGCAUAAUGCCGCUAUCACCUUUUGGAUAGUGGCACGUCCAAGAUCUCCAGAGCAAUUUCUCCUCUGCUCAAAUAACCGAUCAUGCUACUUCACGUAGUUGGUAAUGUGAAGGAAUAAAUUCAAAAACAUCCUAAACCGACAACAAAAGUAUCGCUCUGGAUACAUCAGAUUGGGAUUGAAAUAGUUGAGCACCAGUCUAUUGUGCCCAUCUUUCCUCAACCUACGAAUCGCCUCUCUGCCGACAACAGAACCACCAUGCCUCUCUUGUUCUUAUGCAUGUACAUCAUCGUAAUCAGAGCAAAGUCCUCGUCUUUGUCCAUCUCAUAUUCUUCUUUAGAGAGGAAUCAUCCCACGGGAAGGAUAUGAACGAACCCAUCUACAACACAAUACUUUCAAUUAACCUACUCCUAUAUUUCAAAAAAAAAAAAACGAGUAACACAUUUCUUUUACCUUUGAGGAUUUUUGUCGAACACCUAGUGCGUAGGGAGGAGAAAUCCGACCGGCUGCUCGUCAGGGCCAGUUGGUCGUCGCGCCGGCUACAAGUGGCCUCGGGGUGGUCUUCUCAGCAUCUCCACCCUCGCAGCGUCGUCUGAAAGCCAAAAGCUCCAAAGGAAAAGCGGUCUGGCUCGGUUCUGGUGGUGCCGCGGCGGUAAAGGUGGGGGAAGGGCUGCGAAUGGCUGGAAUCAAUGCAAUUCGAGGCGAACAUCAGAUCCUAAAUCGACGAGUCUGUUGCAGCCAUCUAGUGGGAUUUGAUGGUUAGGCCACGCAGCGGAGAUAUCGCCGGCGACGAUCACGGGGGAGAGGCGGCAAGAAACUUCCAGAUGGCAGUUGGGUUGCGCACGGCAGCCGGUUGGACUGCUGCAAAUAUGCAGCACUUGAGGGCAAAAAUAUGGAGCUGCACUAAAAAUUUGCAUUCAAUUCUAAGAUACAUCAAACUAUUUUUGGCCCGUACGCCCUAAAAAAACAGUUAUUUGGGCACUUGCCCUUUAUACAGCAUCUGUUAAAUAGAUAGAUACUCUAAUGAGAUGGACGCAUACCGUUAGUGCAUGCUCUGACCAGAGAAUGAUUCGCGCUUUUAUAAACAGGCCAUAAAAAUCAAAAAACAUUUGGACCUCGCAAGUCAUACCACAAUGCUAUACAAAUCAUCAACUGAGGGGCACACAGCAUUGCAGCAAGUUGCAACCUUCAAAACUGAGACUCGUGAAAGGGUUACACCAACAGUGGAUGCUGCCAAUAACAUCCAACAAAUAUACCAUUUCCCAUGCCGAAUUACAGCAGAUCCCACGGGAAUAACAACACACACAGACAACAUUGACAACAUUCGGGACCAGUACCAGUACACUCACCGGGAAAAAGAGAACUCUUCCACACACACAAAAAUUUCAAACCAAAAUAGACAGAUUCUCCACAAAGUUCAUGUUUCUAUAUAUGAUUUGAUUUGGCGACCUUCUCUUUCCCAUCACACCAUCAACCUACACAUGGACGAACCAGGAACCAGCUUCAUGGACACAUGACACCAAGAGACUCAUCAUCCUCUGACAAAAAAACUCUGGUAACCAAGCAUUCCUUAGAACGACACCAUUUGGCUCCUGAAAUUUGGUUUUGACAGAGAAUGAAGGUUA